CCUACGGGCGGCAGCAGUGAGGAAUAUUGGUCAAUGGGCGCGAGCCUGAACCAGCCAAGUCGCGUGAGGGAAGACGGUCCUAUGGAUUGUAAACCUCUUUUGUCGGGGAGCAAAAGACGCCACGCGUGGCGUUCCGAGAGUACCCGAAGAAAAAGCAUCGGCAAACUCCGUGCCAGCAGCCGCGGUAAUACGGAGGAUGCGAGCGUUACCCGGAUUUAUUGGGUUUAAAGGGUGCGCAGGCGGAAGAUCAAGUCAGCGGUAAAAUUGAGGGGCUCAACCUCUUCGAGCCGUUGAAACUGGUUAUCUUGAGUGAGUGAGAGGUAUGCGGAAUGCGUGGUGUAGCGGUGAAAUGCAUAGAUAUCACGCAGAACUCCGAUUGCGAAGGCAGCAUACCGGCGCUCAACUGACGCUCAUGCACGAAAGUGUGGGUAUCGAACAGGAUUAGAUACCCUUGUAGUC
rnacentral:rRNA from 1 species